CCUACGGGAGGCUGCAGUGAGGACUAUUGGUCAAUGGACGAGAGUCUGAACCAGCCAAGUAGCGUGAAGGAUGACUGCCCUAUGGGUUGUAAACUUCUUUUAUAUGGGAAUAAAACGUUCCACGUGUGGGAUUUUGUAUGUACCAUAUGAAUAAGGAUCGGCUAACUCCGUGCCAGCAGCCGCGGUAAUACGGAGGAUCCGAGCGUUAUCCGGAUUUAUUGGGUUUAAAGGGAGCGUAGGUGGAUUGUUAAGUCAGUUGUGAAAGUUUGCGGCUCAACCGUAAAAUUGCAGUUGAAACUGGCAGUCUUGAGUACAGUAGAGGUGGGCGGAAUUCGUGGUGUAGCGGUGAAAUGCUUAGAUAUCACGAAGAACUCCGAUUGCGAAGGCAGUUCACUGGACUGCAACUGACACUGAGGCUCGAAAGUGUGGGUAUCAAACAGGAUUAGAUACCCCAGUAGUC
rnacentral:rRNA from 1 species